AGAAUCAACGCUGGCGGCGUGCCUAACACAUGCAAGUCGAACGAGAAAGUGGGAGCAAUCCCAUUAGUAAAGCGGCGCACGGGUGAGUAACACGUGACUAACCUACCCUUGAGUGGGGGAUAACCUAGGGAAACCUGGGCUAAUACCGCAUAAUACCUACGGGUCAAAGGAGCAAUUCGCUUUAGGAGGGGGUCGCGGCAGAUUAGUUAGUUGGCGGGGUAAUGGCCCACCAAGACAGUGAUCUGUA
rnacentral:rRNA from 1 species